UGUGCCAGCAGCCGCGGUAAUACGUAGGGUGCGAGCGUUGUCCGGAAUUACUGGGCGUAAAGGGCUCGUAGGUGGUUUGUCGCGUCGUCUGUGAAAUUCCGGGGCUUAACUCCGGGCGUGCAGGCGAUACGGGCAUAACUUGAGUACUGUAGGGGUAACUGGAAUUCCUGGUGUAGCGGUGAAAUGCGCAGAUAUCAGGAGGAACACCGAUGGCGAAGGCAGGUUACUGGGCAGUUACUGACGCUGAGGAGCGAAAGCAUGGGUAGCGAACAGGA
rnacentral:rRNA from 1 species